rnacentral:rRNA from 1 species
AACGUUACCGGAGGGCAUGCCUGUCGAGCGUCAGUGGACAACCUCGAACCGGGGAACGGUUCGUCGUUGGGUGUCGCUGGCUGGCGCCGGCACGCCUCAAAGCCAACGGGCGGCCCCCCCGGGACCUAAAACCCUUCCCACCCCUCGGAAACGCGUGCAAAGGAUCGCGGCCGGGGAGGGGGAAAGGGGUUCCAAGGGGACGCCUUUUCCCCUCCGUUUUCGUUCCCCCUCGAACGAUCGGCGCGUGUUGACCUCGGAUCAGGUAGGAAUACCCGCUGAACUUAAGCAUAUCAAUAAGCGGAGGA